CGUUGCGAGUCAUGAAACGUAUCUUUUGACGAUCCACAAAAACAUAAUGUUUAAAACAUCCAAGUUCGAGUCCAGAGAUUUCGGAGUCGAAUCCGAUUUCGAUUCCAAGUAAAAGGUGUCGAUUCCAGAACCAUAACUGAAGAGAUGCCAAUCAACCUACCAUGCAUGUCUUUGGACCGGGGGAGGAAACUGGAGUACCCGGAGGAAACCCCCAAGGCACGGGGAGAACAUGCAAACUCCACACACACAAGGCGGAGGCAGGAAUCGAACCCCCAACCCUGGAGGUGUGAGGCGAACGUGCUAACCACUAAGCCACCGUGCCCCCCACUACCCUGUGAUGAUAAAGUAAAAUCUGUGAAAUGUAAUACAAUUAAAGUAGUGAUGUAGCACAGGUUAGUGUUGUAUUAUUAUUAUUUUUAGGAAAAAGACAGACUUUUUAUUACACAAAGUUCAGCUGCUGAAAUCUCAGCUGUUAGGUUCAUAAGCAAGAAUUCUCAAACCAUGUAGCAAUGUAUCUGUGAGGAGUGGAUGAUGAUGAUGAUGAGCCUUAUUUGUGGGCAAGAAAAAACACUCUUUUCUGUGGAAUGACUGCCUUCAUCUUAAAACAAAAAUAUGUCUGGUUAAAUGUUGGCAUAUGUAGAAGCAAGAGAACCUUGAAUGCAGGUUAGGUUGAGCUCAGUCAAGAUGGUGACGUAAGAGACGUAUGCAUUCAAAAGAGAAGUUUUGGUAUUAGUCACAGGCUGCUUUCCAGGAAUGAGGAGCCCAUCAUUGUUCAGACGACCUACUUAAAAUAACUAAAAAAAUAAGACGGCACUGAAACGAUUAUGAUGAAAUUCUGAGAACUGUUGUUGUUUUGAUAUUUUUUGAUACCGCAAAACCAAAUCUUGCUACUAGAAUGACUAACAAACAGAGCGUAAACAUAAUAGAUCACAACGACUCCUCGACAUGACAUUUAUUUCAUACAGCAGCAAUUUCCUUACCCGACUGACAGACCUAAUUAAACUGCUUGGGGAUGAUUAAGAAUUUUACGAUUAAGUUGCUAACAGCAAAUAUGUUCAGAAUCUGAAAUUUUUUGCACAUUAAUAAAUUACACCUUAUAA